UACGAAGGAUUCGAGCGUUAUCCGGAUUUAUUGGGUUUAAAGGGUGCGUAGGUGGACUAAUAAGUCAGUGGUGAAAGCCCGCAGCUUAACUGCGGAACUGCCCAUUGAUACUGUUAGUCUUGAGUACAGUUGAGGUGGGCGGAAUGUGUCAUGUAGCGGUGAAAUGCUUAGAUAUGACACAGAACACCGGUGGCGAAGGCGGCUAGCUGGGCCGGUUCUGACGCUCAUGUGCGAAAGCGUGGGGAGCAAACAGG
rnacentral:rRNA from 1 species